UUUGAAAUCUGGUUGCGAAGAAGCGUGAUGCACAAAACCUUUGGGAAGAAAAUGAAGAAGCCUUGAAAUCUGUUUUUCCUCACACAGCUCAUCUCUCUCUGCAAUUCUCUCUCACAGAGCUCUCAAUCUCACCUUUGUCCUGUGUUGUGUUCAUGACCGUCGGCGUUGCAUGUGUUCCGGUGGUGAGUUUGAUAUACCCAACGACGGUGGUGAUGGUCAGAUCCGAGGAUGAGACGAAAGGAUACGACGGUUGUGAGAUCUAACGGUGAGAUCUGACGUUGAUAUGGUGGACAAAGGUGGUGGGCGGCGGUGUUGACGGUGGUUGGUGAGAGAAAGGAGGAGGUAGGUGGUGGUGAAGAGGAGUGAAGAGAAAAAGGUAAGUGGAUGGAAGGAAGAAAUAACGUGUUUCAGAUAAAAGAGAGAAGGUGAACGCGAAUUGACAAAAUUACCCUUGAUAAAAUUAAUUAAAAAUGCCACAUAUUGGGAUGUAAAAGGGGGUUGGCCAGCUCAGUGUGUAUAUAUAUCAGUUCUCUUUUUUUAUUGUACUGAAAUCAAUGCAAACACUGUUACCCAAUCAAAUGCAGAUGUAGGCCUAAACAAUAUAGUUAGGCUUUAUAGUACUAUCUAAUUAGAGGAACUUUAGCUUGGCUAUUUUAAUUUUUUAACCCCUUGAUUACUGAUAUAUAUGUUGAUUGUGAUAUAACAAAAUCAUACGAUUUGGUCCCAUGUUCUCUUCCAUCUAUACGUCCCUGCAGGAAGGUUCCUACAUGUUUCCAUGCAAAUUCAUGUGCUAGUUAUAUAGUAAUUUCCUGUACUUUCGAAUCUCUUUCAUCACAUUAUCAAAGUUAGCAACUAGUGUCAUCUCAAUGAGUGCGUCAUGCCUAUGAGUUUUCUACAUGUAAUUAAUUGGACCCUCAAAAGGCAAUAGAGGGGUAAA
rnacentral:lncRNA from 1 species